rnacentral:rRNA from 1 species
UACGAAGGGUGCAAGCGUUGUUCGGAUUUACUGGGCGUAAAGCGCGCGCAGGCGGAUUGGUAAGUCAGAUGUGAAAUCUCGGGGCUCAACCCCGAAACUGCGUCUGAAACUACUAAUCUAGAAUCUCGGAGAGGGAUGGGGAAUUUCUUGUGUAGGGGUAAAAUCCGUAGAGAUAAGAAGGAACACCAGAGGCGAAGGCG